ensembl:lncRNA
GGCGGGGGGGAGUUGGGGCAGAAUAAAGAGGGCGGCCGUCAGCCCGAGGCCCCCGGAUGCACCCGGCUCCUGCUUUUUGGCUUGUUGUGGAUAUUUAUCACCUGGGUGCUGUCCGCCCGGACCAUCUGGACCCGUGGGUGGGGGGGGGGAAGGAAGGGGCGGAGGAGGCCAUUUUGAAAGAGACCGCCACUGAACACAUGGUCGUAAGUUUUAAGCAAAGCGAGAGAAAGAGAGAGAGAGAGAGAUAGAGGAAGAGUGAGAGAGAGAGAGAGAGAGAGAGAGAGAGAGAGAGAGGAAGAGUGAGAGAGAAUGGGUUAGAAUGGGAUUUCCUGAGUGGCCCAGAGUGAAUCAUACCAACAAAACAGAGGGAUGUGAUGGGGGGGUCGGGUGAAGGCGCAGUUAGUGGAUGGAGGAUCUCUCUGCCCCGUCUUCCAGUGGCUUUAGUCCAGUCAAUUUAAGCCAAAAUAGGGGUCAGGGUUGAACAAAUUGCAACAAAAGUGCAACUAAUCUGAUUUUGUAUCCUCAAUGUGUCCUGAGUAAGGGAAUAAAAGCCCAGAAGAUUCCCAAUAUGGGAAAGUUUAGAAGAAGACCCAACUAUACCCGAUUCAUACGGCUAUUCAUUAUUUUUCUCACGCGAAUAGGCAAAAUAAAUUAACCUUCAGUUAUCAGCAUGAAAAUUAUUGAGUUGAUUACUUACAUCAAGACAAACAAAAAAUGUAUUACAAGAUUUUUGAAAUUGUUUGUUAACAUGGGCAAACAGGGAAUAAUCGAAUUAUGUAUGUGCUCAUUUGCAUAAAUAUCACAAUGGGACCCUGGCCCGUGGCGGCGUGGCUGGGGCACCCCCACCGCACGCCGGCGACCCGGGCCCCAUGCCCGCCCUCACGUCUUUUCUGGAUCCCUACCCAACUCUCUCUCCCACUCGCCUCCUGACGCUCUCGAAUGUCCUAUCUGAUCAAAGGCAUAAAACCCCCAAAACAAUUCUUACAAAAAAAAAAGAAUAAUACCAUAACGGAUCUUAACAUUGGGUAAAGCCAGAUGAAAAUGUCUUGUAGAAUCUUGCUGACAUCUUAAGAGUACAACAAAAGUAACCAUAAGGUGCAGAGAUUCGGUCAUUCAUUCUAUUGUCAACUGUCCACAAUCAACUCAACUGUCAAUCAACUCUCAUUAAGCUGUCAGGUAAGAAAGAUUUCCUUUUGUUACUACUCCUACAUGGAUAAUUCAACCUACAUUAAUAAAACAUACCUGAUAAACUAAAAUUUAUUGGGAUCAAACAUGUCAAGUUUAGGUGAAUAUUUUAACUACACAGUUUUAACUUUAGCUAGCUAAGCUAGCAGCAGCAAACUUGACUUGAAUUACUCUCAUGGCACUGCAAUGCCUACGAUAACCCAUGUAUCCAUAUAUUUGCCGGUAAUAAGUGUGAUAAAUAGAAUAUGGCCCCAUAUAUCGUCAUAAGGGGCCAAGUUACCUUCCCUUUUUCUGCCUUGCCCAGGGCCUGCCCGACACCUCAUUGUUCCGACGUCUCAAUGGUCCGAAAUAUUUCCCAUUAGAUCGACGUGCCACUAUGCCGACGGUUCAAUGUUCCGAAAAUGGAACCCAUGGAAAGAAGGUCCGUUUGUCCGACUUUUCAAAAAGGAGGCGCAUUAGGCCGACGGUUCAAUAUGCCGAAUAGGCCUGCUACAUAUAAAUAUUUUAAUUGCUUGAAAGCACUACUUGUAAUAAUUUUUUUGUUUGUCUUGAUGUAAGUAAUCAACUCAGUAAUUUUCAAGGUGAUAUCUGAAGGUUAAUUUUAUUUCCUAUUCGCGUGAGAAAAAUAAUGAACAGGUAUAUGAAUAUUGUAUAUUUGGGUCUUUUUCUAAACUUUCCCCUAUUGGGAUUAUUUGGGGCUUUUUAUUUUCAUACUCAGGACAUAUUGAGGAUACAAAGUCGGUUGAGUUUGCUUGUAUUUCAAUUUGUUCAACCUUUUUUCAUAAAAUGACUGGACUACUUUGUCUUUGUCGUCAGUGCAAGCCACGGCUGACAUCACCGCCCCUGACCAAGACGACGUCCCCAUCGGACACACACACACCCGCACAUGAAAGCCCCCGUGUGUGUGUGUGUGUGUGUGUGUGUGUGUGUGUCCUGUUUACAUGUAGUACUUUAAAUGCUGAAGACAAAAUAUUUUUGCUUUGAGAAGAAUGAGAAUAAAGACAUUUACAUUGACUAGAAUGGGGGACUUUUACUUUGAGUAGAAUGCUAAUGAGGACGAUAACUUUGACUAGAACAGUAAUGGAACAGAAAUUAGAUGCAAGUAUUUCACUUCUAGUACGUGCUGUUAAAAAAUCCUUAAACUACUAAGCAACAAGCCAUGCGAGAGAAUCGGAAUAGAUUUAUAAGCUGAUUUUAAAAUCAGCUUACUAACACUGUUUGAAUCUGGUUGAAAAGUCUGGCAAACAGCAGGCUUUGACAACCAAGCCCUCGUCAUACCCCUCACAAACACACACACACACAAACAUGUACACAUAGACAGACACAACCUACACAACAGGCCUUCAGGACAGACAAACAAUUAUCCUCCAUUAUCUUUGCCUUUUUGUUCAGUCACGUCUCACCGACAACAGAUUCCUGCUGUAACAUUGAAAGUCCAGGAACGGACACCCUUGUGCAAAGAAGCAGGAUUUCUUUAGUUCUUUCGCCCUAACCCAGCCUAGCAACGCCUAGCAAAGCCAGCCUCAAUCUCACAAGCAUACUUCUGCUUUUGCCUCAAGAUAUGUUUGGCAUGAGUCAUCAGUCAGCCAAUCGGUGAACCUGGGCGAGUGAUUUAUCAGAAGUGCCGUUUAUGAAAUUUCUACAAUGGAUUCCUUGAUAAGAUAAUAGUUACACUGCUUUGUAAUUAUGUUCAUGUGAAUGCACAAGGUUUUUAUUUAAAAGUCAAUGGUUGCGGUAAUGUUCACCAGCGGGGAAUAGAGGUAUGGCACUCUGGAUCUGACUUGCUGAAGCUCAUCCAAUCAGCUGCAGAGUAAGGUCGACUGGCAGCGCCGCUCAAUAAACACUGUGGACUGCAGCAUAUCUCCUGGCCAUGCAAGGCUAGCCAUAACCCCUACCUGCUGCUAAAUGAUGUCUCUAAAUUCACUGUUGUAACUGUUUAAAAGUAAAUCACUGCUCAUUACUACUCUGUUUGGACGGAAGUACCCUGGCACAUGCUUUGUCCAAUGGACCAUGGAAGGGACUUUACUUGGCUGACGAGGACGCACCUCACCAGUAUCAGAGCAACAGCUGUGGGGUGUUUAUGCUGAUGGGGGACAUGCUCUCUAUCAGGAGGUGGUGGUUGGACAGCUGUUGGAGACCUUUAUGCUUGAAAG